GACCAAACCAAAAUUCAUGUUAGGUAAGACGGCACUUACAAACGUUGAAUCUUCUCAAUUGUUCAGCCCUAACAAACCCAAGCAAAAAUUUAAUAUUUCAUCCCUUAAACAAUUUAGACCACUGCCACCAGCUGUCAAAAUUGCCGAUCAUGUCUAGUAAUCAAUUCCAGCUGUCUCUAUUCUGCUUAUGCUGAAUGCUCUCGUCUGUAGUCUCCGCACACAACUCUUAACACUGUGUUCUAAAUGAUGCUGAAACUUUAGAUAAAAGAACACGCAACGCCAAAAACUAAUUGUGGAACACAGCCGCCAUAUGAUGAAGAAGAAGAUGAUGAUCCCAGUUGUGAAUUUCAACCCCUUUUGCUGGCCGCGACAGAGGGAGAGAUGAGACGAGUGAUGCUGAUGACUUAUGAAACGAACACAGCCGCACCGUGAAGGUGA
rnacentral:lncRNA from 1 species